GACGAACGCUGGCGGCGUGCUUAACACAUGCAAGUCGAACGGUAAGGCUCCAGCUUGCUGGGGUACACGAGUGGCGAACGGGUGAGUAACACGUGGGUGACCUGCCCUGCACUUCGGGAUAAGCCUGGGAAACUGGGUCUAAUACCGGAUAGGACCAUGGUGUGGAUACUGUGGUGGAAAGAUUUUUCGGUGUGGGAUGGGCCCGCGGCCUAUCAGCUUGUUGGUGGGGUAAUGGCCUACCAAGGCGGCGACGGGUAGCCGGCCUGAGAGGGUGGACGGCCACAUUGGGACUGAGACACGGCCCAGACUCCUACGGGAGGCAGCAGUGGGGAAUAUUGCACAAUGGGCGGAAGCCUGAUGCAGCGACGCCGCGUGGGGGAUGACGGCCUUCGGGUUGUAAACUCCUUUCACCAUAGACGAAGGGUUUCUGACGGUAGAUGGAGAAGAAGCACCGGCUAACUACGUG
rnacentral:rRNA from 1 species